rnacentral:rRNA from 1 species
CCAGACUCCUACGGGAGGCAGCAGUGGGGAAUAUUGCACAAUGGGCGCAAGCCUGAUGCAGCGACGCCGCGUGAGGGAUGACGGCCUUCGGGUUGUAAACCUCUUUCAGCAGGGACGAAGCGCAAGUGACGGUACCUGCAGAAGAAGCACCGGCCAACUACGUGCCAGCAGCCGCGGUAAUACGUAGGGUGCGAGCGUUGUCCGGAAUUACUGGGCGUAAAGAGCUCGUAGG